AUGGUAGGAGAGCGUUCUAAGGGCGUUGAAGCAUGAUCGUAAGGACAUGUGGAGCGCUUAGAAGUGAGAAUGCCGGUGUGAGUAGCGAAAGACGGGUGAGAAUCCCGUCCACCGAUUGACUAAGGUUUCCAGAGGAAGGCUCGUCCGCUCUGGGUUAGUCGGGUCCUAAGCUGAGGCCGACAGGCGUAGGCGAUGGAUAACAGGUUGAUAUUCCUGUACCACCUAUAAUCGUUUUAAUCGAUGGGGGGACGCAGUAGGAUAGGCGAAGCGUG
rnacentral:rRNA from 1 species